rnacentral:lncRNA from 1 species
GUAAUUGUCUGAAUAUUUAUUUCUCGGCAUUCACUGCAGAACAAGCUGCAAGUGGUGACUCGGACGUGAUCAAGUGGUGACUCGGACAUGAUCAAGUGGUGACUCCGACGUGAUUGCCUUGAAGUUAUGCAUGGAGUAGGAUGACUCACCAAUCUUCGGGGAAUACCGGACUAGAGUGGAUCCCCAUAAAAUGAGUGAAGCCAUAAUAUGAGUUAGAGACUACUGAAAAAGCCCCUCCUGAUGAUGAAGGACCUGUCAUUGGAGAAUCGACCAAAACUGACAGUGAUAACUUGGAAGGCACCUGACAUUACCUGGGGACAGCUAAAGAAACUGGACCAACAGGGAACUAUCUGGCUUGCAUCUAUGGGAGCCCCUGAAACUGCAGAGAACCAGUUUCUUAUGUAUCUGAUGGUAAUUGGGGGAGCUUCUGAGAAGGCAUCUGCAAAUGGCUCUGUGCUGCCACUCAACCAACUAUGACCAGGGAAGAAUGAUAGAAGCUUACUUUGCAUUGGAUAAUCCGCAUGUUCUAAGAAUUAAAGAAGGGGGAAAUGUGAGGGGUGUAUGACAAUACAUUCAAGCUUAUGUACAAGGCAUUUGA